AUUGAACGCUGGCGGCAGGCCUAACACAUGCAAGUCGAACGAGUGGCGGACGGGUGAGUAAUGUCUGGGAAACUGCCUGAUGGAGGGGGAUAACUACUGGAAACGGUAGCUAAUACCGCAUACCAUCGGAUGUGCCCAGAUGGGAUUAGCUAGUAGGUGGGGUAAAGGCUCACCUAGGCGACGAUCCCUAGCUGGUCUGAGAGGAUGACCAGCCACACUGGAACUGAGACACAGUCCAGACGCCUACGGGAGGCAGCAGUGGGGAAGAUUGAACAAUGGGCGCAAGCCUGAUGCAGCCAUGCCGCGUGUAUGAAGAAGGCAUUCGGUUUGUAAAGUACUUUCAGCGAGGAGGCGUUACUCGCAGAAGAAGCACCGGCUAACUCCGUGCCAGCAGCCGCGGUAAUUC
rnacentral:rRNA from 1 species